rnacentral:lncRNA from 1 species
UUUUUUUUGAGAUGGAGUCUCACUCUGUCGCCUAGGGUGGAGUGCAGUGGCAUGAUCUCGGCUCACUGCAAGCUCUGCCUCUCAGGUUUAUGCCAUUCUCCUGCCUCAGCCUCCUGAGUAGCUGGAACUACAGGUGCCCGCCACCACGCCUGGCUAAUUUUUUAUAUUUUUUAGUAGAGACAGUGUUUCACCGUGUUAGUCAGGAUGGUCUCGAUCUUCUGACAUCGUGAUCCACCCGCCUCGGCCUCCCAAAGUGCUAGGAUUACAGGCGUGAGUCACUGCACUCAGCCAGGUUUUCAGGUGCUGGUUCCAUGGCUCUUCCUGAGCCGAAAAUAAGGAAACUCCAUAGACCUUGUCCACUGGAACUCGUUCCCAUCUACCCUCCACUCUAUCCAGCCCCAUGAGGACAAGGAACAUGAUUGGUUUUGCUCACUGCCGUAUCUUCCGUACCUAGUACGUAACAGGACAUCAAUAAAUAUUAGUUGAAUGGAAGAUUAAAUCAACAAAAUGGGUGAUGGAUCUCUGCAGUAAGUGGAAGAGUUCUUCAUGGCCCCCAAGGUUAUAUCCAUCUAGAACUUCAGCACGUAAUUUCAUCUGGAAAUAGUGCCUUUGCGGAUAUAAGUUAGGUAAAACUGAAGAUGAGAUCAUACUGGAUUAGGAUGGGAUCUAAAUCCAAUGAAAAUGUCUUCAUAAAAAACAGGAAAGAACCCAUAGAAACACAAGGAAGAAGGUCAUGUGAAGAUGGAGGCAGAGAUUGGAGGGAUGCAGCCACCGGCCCAGGAAUGCCAGCAGCCACCCAGAAGCUGGAAGGAAAUGAGGGAUUCUCUCCUAGAACCUUUAGAGAGAACAUGGUCCUGUGAACAGCUUGAUUUUGGACUUGCCCAUAGCUUGUAUACUCUUACUUUGGAUACAAUUUUAUCCAAACUUGGCUAAACAGUUUCUCAGCCUAUGGAAAAUUUAAAAUGGAGAAGAUUCAACUCGAUUCUUACAGAUUCAAAGCAAGAAAAUGAUGGGAACAUAGGAGGAGACCAAGAAAGCCUAUAAAAAGCAAAAAUAUGAAGUGAACAUUGUGGUAGCUUUAAGAUGUUUAGUGUAGCUGCAGGCACCCUAUACACAUGAAAACCCCCAAGGGGAAUCCCCAUAUCACAGUGUAGUGUGAUAUUUGACAUUCGUGAUCAUCUAGAGAUGUACAGAAAAGGUGAAUCUGUGUUCUGUAUAUUCUGCCUAAGGCAAAGAAAUGUUUAGCUCUCUUUAAAAUAGUUCCAUAAUUUUUUCUAAAAAGCUUUGCUUGAAAACUGUAAGCUUCCCAUAUCUGGAGCAUUUCACUUUAAAUAUUUGGAUAAAUAUGUUAUCUUCUUACUUGGACAUUUCAUGUGUUUAGGGAUUGUCUUCUAAAUUCUUCCUAAUUCAUAUAGCUGCUAACACUUCCCGCAGAGCUAAACCAUUACAGAUAUGAAAUAAAGACCUAUUGAUUUGACUUACUUUUACUUGUAAAACCUUCUGAGUGUUAUAACCUCAUUUAAUCUUUCAGCAUUUACAGUUUCAAGAGUUUGUGUCACAAUUAGAAGAAUUCAGCUGCACCUCCAAGUGACAGCAGUUGCUCUGGUUGGUGGGUGAUCUCAGGAGGCUUGAGAAUUGCUUUGUCUGUGAGGGAAGUAAGACAUUUUCAGAGCCCCACUUUAGAAGGUGUGAACUGGCUAGAUAAUGAACCCCAGGGCUAACGCUGCUAUAGCAGUGGGAAGGAGGUGAUGGGUUUUCAGUUUGGACCUCAAACAUCAAUACCCUCCUGGUACGGGGAGGAACAGAGUCCCUCCUUUACUUCUCCAUUAGAAAGAAUGAGAUGGCAAGACAAUGAAACAGGCAAAGUGAACAGAGAUGCAAGACAAAAUUCAGGUGAGAGAGCCAGAGCAUCACUCAGCCAUUCCUGACAUGUAAAACAGGCAACUAGAAAUUUGCAGAAAGGAAGCGAAGUCUCCAUAAAGAUGUUUUUAAAGUGAGCUUGAAGUAUUUGGAGACAAUUCAGUGUUACAUAAAAUCUGCAAAUCUCUGGAUAAAGAAGCAGAGAUCCCAGCAUGGGACAAAUGGAGCCUCAAAAGUGGGAAGAAGACAGAGAAGACCAGGGCAGAAUGCAUCUCUUCCUUUCUCUUGGCUUUCCUGGAUAAGGACUGCAUCAUUCCUGUGGAAGGACAGGCCAUCAGCUCCGAAACACUGUAUGUAUUUUCCAGUAUAUACUGCUAGCUGUGUGAUGUUGGGAAAAUUUGUUACCCUGUCUAACCCCCACUUCCCUCAUCUGUAAAAUGGAAAUAAUGAUAGUACCUACCUAUCUCAUAGGUGGCAACUACAAGGGGCAGCACACUCAGGGAAUUAAGGAAGUUUCAGUGAACAUCAACUUUAUGAACACAGUGUUCAUAAAGGCAGGUCAGUGCAGUGGUUUGGGAGCCAGGAGAAGCACGUGGGCCGGAGUGUGCCUGCAGGAGACAAGGUCAGAGAUGUUGCUAAUAAUGGAGAAUAAAGGAUGC